rnacentral:rRNA from 1 species
AGUGAACGCUGGCGGUAGGCCUAACACAUGCAAGUCGAACGGCAGCACAGUAAGAGCUUGCUCUUACGGGUGGCGAGUGGCGGACGGGUGAGGAAUACAUCGGAAUCUACUUUUUCGUGGGGGAUAACGUAGGGAAACUUACGCUAAUACCGCAUACGACCUACGGGUGAAAGCAGGGGAUCUUCGGACCUUGCGCGAUUGAAUGAGCCGAUGUCGGAUUAGCUAGUUGGCGGGGUAAAGGCCCACCAAGGCGACGAUCCGUAGCUGGUCUGCGAGGAUGAUCAGCCACACGGGAACUGAGACACGGUCCAGACUCCUACGGGAGGCAGCAGUGGGUAAUAUUGGACAAUGGGCGCACGCCUGAUCCAGCCAUACCGCGUGGGUGAAGAAGGCCUUCGGGUUGUAAAGCCCUUUUGUUGGGAAAGAAAAGCAGCAGGUUAAUACCCCGCUGUUCUGACGGUACCCAAAGAAUAAGCACCGGCUAACUUCGUG